rnacentral:rRNA from 1 species
UACAGAGGUCUCAAGCGUUGUUCGGAAUCACUGGGCGUAAAGGGUGCGUAGGCCGCACGGAAAGUCAGAGGUGAAAUCCCGGAGCUCAACUUCGGAAUUGCCUCCGAUACUCCCGUGCUUGAGGACUGGAGAGGAGUCUGGAAUUCACAGUGGAGCAGUGAAAUGCGUAGAGAUCGGGAGGAACACCAGUGGCGAAGGCGGCUCGCUGGGCCGGCCCUGACGGCUGAGGCGCGAAGGCGUGGGGAGCGAACGGG